GCAGCAGUGGGGAAUUUUGGACAAUGGGCGAAAGCCUGAUCCAGCAAUGCCGCGUGUGUGAAGAAGGCCUUCGGGUUGUAAAGCACUUUUGUCCGGAAAGAAAUCCUUGGCUCUAAUACAGUCGGGGGAUGACGGUACCGGAAGAAUAAGCACCGGCUAACUACGUGCCAGCAGCCGCGGUAAUACGUAGGGUGCGAGCGUUAAUCGGAAUUACUGGGCGUAAAGCGUGCGCAGGCGGUUUGCUAAGACCGAUGUGAAAUCCCCGGGCUCAACCUGGGAACUGCAUUGGUGACUGGCAGGCUAGAGUAUGGCAGAGGGGGGUAGAAUUCCACGUGUAGCAGUGAAAUGCGUAGAGAUGUGGAGGAAUACCGAUGGCGAAGGCAGCCCCCUGGGCCAAUACUGACGCUCAUGCACGAAAGCGUGGGGAGCAAACAGGAUUAGAUACCCUGGUAGUCCACGCCCUAAACGAUGUCAACUAGUUGUUGGGGAUUCAUUUCCUUAGUAACGUAGCUAACGCGUGAAGUUGACCGCCUGGGGAGUACGGUCGCAAGAUUAAAACUCAAAGGAUUUGACGGGGACCU
rnacentral:rRNA from 1 species